rnacentral:rRNA from 1 species
GACGAACCGUGCAAACGUUAUUCGGAAUCACUGGGCUUAAAGGGUGCGUAGGCGGGCGGUCAAGUCAGUGGUGAAAUCCCCCCGGCCCAACCGGGGAACUGCCGCCGAUACUGAUCGUCUCGAGGGAGGUAGGGGUGUGUGGAACUUCCGGUGGAGCGGUGAAAUGCGUAGAGAUCGGAAGGAACGCCGGCGGCGAAAGCGGCACUCUGGGCCGGUACUGACGCUGAGGAGCGAAAGCGUGGGGAGCAAACAGG